rnacentral:rRNA from 1 species
CCUACGGGUGGCAGCAGUGAGGAAUAUUGGUCAAUGGGCGCGAGCCUGAACCAGCCAAGUAGCGUGAGGGAUGACUGCCCUACGGGUUGUAAACUUCUUUUAUCAAGGAAUAAAGUGAGGCACGUGUGCCUUUUUGUAUGUACUUUAUGAAUAAGGAUCGGCUAACUCCGUGCCAGCAGCCGCGGUAAUACGGAGGAUCCGAGCGUUAUCCGGAUUUAUUGGGUUUAAAGGGAGCGUAGAUGGGUUGUUAAGUCAGUUGUGAAAGUUGGCGGCUCAACCGUAAAAGUGCAAUUGAUACUGGCAGCCUUGAGUGCAGUUGAGGUAGGCGGAAUUCGUGGUGUAGCGGUGAAAUGCUUAGAUAUCACGAAGAACUCCGAUUGCGAAGGCAGCUUACUAAGCUGCCACUGACAUUGAUGCUCGAAAGUGUGGGGAUCGAACAGGAUUAGAUACCCGAGUAGUC